UGGCGGACGGGUGAGUAACGCGUGGAUAACCUGCCGUAUACAGGGGGAUAACACUUAGAAAUAGGUGCUAAUACCGCAUAAGCGCACGGUUCCGCAUGGAACAGUGUGAAAAACUCCGGUGGUAUACGAUGGAUCCGCGUCUGAUUAGCCAGUUGGCGGGGUAACGGCCCACCAAAGCGACGAUCAGUAGCCGGCCUGAGAGGGCGACCGGCCACAUUGGGACUGAGACACGGCCCAGACUCCUACGGGAGGCAGCAG
rnacentral:rRNA from 1 species